GAGAGAAUAGAGAGAGAAAGAGAGAGAAUAGAGAGACAGAGAAAAGGGAGAGAGAGAAUAGAGAGAGAGUAAUUCAUCUCUGUCUCCUCGGCUGACACCACCGCAUAAUCUGAGACCUGAGAGUCGCCACAUCAAACAUCCCAUCUCUACUAGUGACAUCACAGUGAGUGAUGGGUUCUGCAUCCUAAAUGCCUCCCUAAAUACUGUAGUGCACUACUGUUGACUUGGGCCCACCGGGCUCUGUUUAGAAAGUGUCACGCUUCAUAAGGUACUGUUAGGGACACAGCCUUAGUGGCGAAGAUGCAUGACAUCAGACCGCGUGACUGUGUGGGAAAUAGAUAUGAGAGGUUUAGGAAAGUAUUUCGGGGGGAAUUCUUUGUUAAUAUCACCACCAUGGUAAGAAAGGCCUGUUGGGUAGACCUGUCCUAUCAGCUUACAUGGCUGGAAUGUUUCACAGGCGUGUGGUAGGUAGGUAGUCUUAUCCUGUAGGAGAGAUGUCUCCAGUAGGUAGGUAGUCUUAUCCUAUACUCUGUAGGAGAGAUGUCUCCAGUAGGUAGGUAGUCUUAUCCUGUAGGAGAGAUGUCUCCAGUAGGUAGGUAGUCUUAUCCUGUAGGAGAGAUGUCUCCAGUAGGUAGGUAGUCUUAUCCUAUACUCUGUAGGAGAGAUGUCUCCAGUAGGUAGGUAGUCUUAUCCUGUAGGAGAGAUGUCUCCAGUAGGUAGGUAGUCUUAUCCUGUAGGAGAGAUGUCUCCAGUAGGUAGGUAGUCUUAUCCUGU